rnacentral:rRNA from 1 species
GAUGAACGCUGGCGGCGUGCCUAAUACAUGCAAGUCGAGCGAACGGACGAGGAGCUUGCUUUUCUGAUGUUAGCGGCGGACGGGUGAGUCACACGUGGAUAACCUACCUAUCAGACUGGGAUAACUUCGGGACACCGGAGCUAAUACCGGAUAAUAUUUUGAACCGCAUGGUUCAAAAGUGAAAGACGGUCUUGCUGUCACUUCUCGAUGCAUCCGCGCUGCAUUAGCUAGUUGGUAAGGUCACGGCUUACCAAGGCAACGAUGCAUAGCCGACCUGAUAGGGUGAUCGGCCACACUAGAACUGAGACACGGUCCAGACUCCUACGGGAGGCAGCAGUAGGGAAUCUUCCGCAAUGGGCGAAAGCCUGACGGAGCAACGCCGCGUGAGUGAUGAAGGUCUUCGGAUCGUAAAACUCUGUUAUUAGGGAAGAACAUAUGUGUAAGUAACUGUGCACAUCGUGACGGUACCUAAUCAGAAAGCCACGGCUAACUACGUG